CCUACGGGGGGCAGCAGUGGGGAAUAUUGGACAAUGGGGGCAACCCUGAUCCAGCCAUGCCGCGUGUGUGAAGAAGGCCCUCGGGUUGUAAAGCACUUUCAGUGAGGAAGAACGCCUGGUGGUUAAUACCCAUCAGGAAAGACAUCACUCACAGAAGAAGCACCGGCUAACUCCGUGCCAGCAGCCGCGGUAAUACGGAGGGUGCGAGCGUUAAUCGGAAUUACUGGGCGUAAAGCGCGCGUAGGUGGCUUGAUAAGCCGGUUGUGAAAGCCCCGGGCUCAACCUGGGAACGGCAUCCGGAACUGUCAAGCUAGAGUGCAGGAGAGGAAGCUAGCAUUCCCGGUGUAGCGGUGAAAUGCGUAGAGCUCGGGAGGAAUAGCAGUGGCGAAGGCGGCCUUCUGGACUGACACUGACACUGAGGUGCGCAAGCGUGUGUAGCAAACAGGAUAAGAUACCCUUGUAGUC
rnacentral:rRNA from 1 species